rnacentral:hammerhead_ribozyme from 1 species
GUACUGCUGAGGAGUCCCAGAAUAGGACGAAAAAGCCGUCUAAUAC